GACGAACGCUGGCGGCGUGCUUAACACAUGCAAGUCGAACGGAAAGGCCCUGCUUUUGUGGGGUGCUCGAGUGGCGAACGGGUGAGUAACACGUGAGUAACCUGCCCUUGACUUUGGGAUAACUUCAGGAAACUGGGGCUAAUACCGGCUAGGAGCUCCUGCUGCAUGGUGGGGGUUGGAAAGUUUCGGCGGUUGGGGAUGGACUCGCGGCUUAUCAGCUUGUUGGUGGGGUAGUGGCUUACCAAGGCUUUGACGGGUAGCCGGCCUGGGAGGGUGACCGGCCACAUUGGGACUGGGAUACGGCCCAGACUCCUACGGGAGGCAGCAGUGGGGAAUAUUGCACAAUGGGCGGAAGCCUGAUGCAGCAACGCCGCGUGCGGGAUGACGGCCUUCGGUUUGUAAACCGCUUUCGCCUGUGACGAAGCGUGAGUGACGGUAAUGGGUAAAGAAGCACCGGCUAACUACGUG
rnacentral:rRNA from 1 species